rnacentral:tRNA from 1 species
UGGCUGAGCGGUAAAGCGCUUGGCUUCUGAACUGGGGGUCCCGGGUUCGAAUCCUGG